rnacentral:rRNA from 1 species
UAGGGAAUCUUCGGCAAUGGACGAAAGUCUGACCGAGCAACGCCGCGUGAGUGAAGAAGGUCUUCGGAUCGUAAAAUUCUGUUGUUAGAGAAGAACGUUGUGUAGAGUGGAAAAUUACACAAGUGACGGUAUCUAACCAGAAAGGGACGGCUAACUACGUGCCAGCAGCCGCGGUAAUACGUAGGUCCCGAGCGUUGUCCGGAUUUAUUGGGCGUAAAGCGAGCGCAGGUGGUUUAAUAAGUCUGAUGUAAAAGGCAGUGGCUCAACCAUUGUGUGCAUUGGAGACUGUUAGACUUGAGUGCAGUAGAGGAGAGUGGAAUUCCAUGUGUAGCGGUGAAAUGCGUAGAUAUAUGGAGGAACACCGGUGGCGAAAGCGGCUCUCUGAACUGUAACUGACACUGAGGCUCGAAAGUGCGGGGAUCAAACA